rnacentral:rRNA from 1 species
UACGUAGGGUGCGAGCGUUGUCCGGAAUUACUGGGCGUAAAGAGCUCGUAGGCGGUUUGUCACGUCGUCUGUGAAAUCCCUCGGCUUAACCGGGGGCGUGCAGGCGAUACGGGCAGACUUGAGUACUACAGGGGAGACUGGAAUUCCUGGUGUAGCGGUGAAAUGCGCAGAUAUCAGGAGGAACACCGGUGGCGAAGGCGGGUCUCUGGGUAGUAACGGACGCUGAGGAGCGAAAGCAUGGGUAG